GACGGAGGGGGCUAGCGUUGUUCGGAAUGACUGGGCGUAAAGGGCGCGUAGGCGGCUUAUCAAGUCAGGUGUGAAAGCCUUGGGCUUAACCCAAGAAUUGCGCUUGAUACUGAUAAGCUAGAGGAUGAUAGAGGAAAGCGGAAUUCCUAGUGUAGAGGUGAAAUUCGUAGAUAUUAGGAAGAACACCAGAGGCGAAGGCGGCCUUCUGGACCAGUACUGACGCUCAUGCACGAAAGCGUGGGGAGCAAACAGG
rnacentral:rRNA from 1 species